rnacentral:sRNA from 1 species
UUUCCAUAUUGAUGUUCUCACAGGAAUUGCAAGAAUUGUUCUUCAGCAUCAUAAUCUCCCAAAUUCACACAUCCCCCCUUAGAAAUGUAGUAAUGGGAAUAUACCUAGUAACAUAAACUGUGGUUCUCAGUCUGUUAGCUAUUCAGAUUUUUCACAAUGAUUUUUGUUACGUAAUGAGAAAUAACCUACUAAGUAAAUAGGACCCCUUGCUCAAAGAAGUGUGAAAAGAGCAUUUCCUUGCUUUCCUGACAUGCUAGGAAGCAAGGCAAGCCUAAGGAUUCUUCUCUGCUUAUUCUUUUUUCUCCCUAGGCACAGUUCGAGUGACAACUGCUGCCCAUCUUGCACUGCUGGUGGCUAAAAACAUCUCCUUCUUUCCCAGCAAUGUGGAGCAAUUUUCUGAGGGCAACAUUGAUGUGUGGUGGAUUGUGCAUGAUGGGGGGAUGCUUAUGCUACUACCAUUCCUACUGAAACAGCACAAGGUGUGGCGAAAGUGCAGCAUACGGAUCUUCACAGUAGCCCAAUUAGAAGACAACAGUAUCCAAAUGAAGA